UGCUGUGGCUCAGUCGGUAGAGCGUCGCCUUGGUAAGGCGGAGGUCACCAGUUCGAAUCUGGUCAGC
rnacentral:tRNA from 1 species